AUACGAAGGUGGCGAGCGUUGUUCGGAAUCACUGGGCAUAAAGCGCACGCAGGCGGCGCGAUUAGUUGGAUGUGAAAUCCCUCGGCCCAACCGAGGAACUGCGUCCAAUACUGUCGGGCUUGAGAUCGGGAGGGGUGCAUGGAAUUCCGGGUGGAGCGGUGAAAUGCGUUGAGAUCCGGAGGAACACCGGCGGCGAAAGCGAUGCACUGGUCCGAUACUGACGCUGAGGUGCGAAAGCUAGGGUAGCAAACGGGAUUAGAAACCCGAGUAGUCC
rnacentral:rRNA from 1 species